rnacentral:rRNA from 1 species
GAUGAACGCUAGCUACAGGCUUAACACAUGCAAGUCGAGCGGUUUGUGCUUUUGCUACAUUCAGCGGCAGACGGGUGAGUAACACGUAUCUAACCUUCCCUUACUUGGGCAUAGCCUCUGGAAACGGAGAUUAAUUUCCGAUGUGGUGUACAUUUCGCUAUGUUUUGCGCACCAAAGAUUUAUCGGUAAGGGAUGGGGAUGCGCUCCAUUAGGUUGUAGGUAGGGUAAUGGCCUACCUAGCCUAUGAUGGAUAGGGGUUCUGAGAGGAAGGUCCCCCACAUUGGAACUGCGACACGGUCCAAACUCCUACGGGAGGCAGCAGUGAGGAAUAUUGGUCAAUGGCCGGAAGGCUGAACCAGCCGAGUAGCGUGCAGGAUGACUGCCUUAUGGGUUGUAAACUGCUUUUUUACGGGAAUAAUUAUGAUCACGUGUGAUUAUUUGCAUGUACCGUAAGAAUAAGGAUCGGCUAACUCCGUG